CUCAGAAAUUAUUAAGAGUAUUGUCUGCCCAGUGACUGAUUGGUUUAACGGCCGCGUAUUAGUGCUAAGGUAGCAUAAUAAUUUGCCUUUUCAUUGAAGGCUAGUAUGAAUGGCAUAACGAAGCUUAACUGUCUCUAACUAUAACAAAAAAAUUAGUCAAAAAGUGAAAAAACUUUUUUAUUAUUGAAGGACGAAAAGACCCUAUAGAGCUUUAAUAUAAUUAGUAAAUAAAGUUUAAAAAAUAAAACUAUAUUAACUUAUAUAUUUUUAUUGGGGCAAUAGAAAAAAAAUUUAAUACACAACUUUGUGAUAACAAACAAAAAAAACCUCAAAGAGAAUAAAUACAAGCUACCUUAGGGAUAACAGCGUAAUCUUACCAGAGAGACCUAAUCAAAGGAAAGGUUUACGACCUCGAUGUUGGACUAAGAAAACCCGAAAGUGCAGAAGCCUUUGAAAGCUGGCCUGUUCGGCCAUUAA
rnacentral:rRNA from 1 species